rnacentral:lncRNA from 1 species
UUAGCCUCCGGUAAACAGAUAUUGGGUUUCCAUUAUAGUAUUUCGCAAUAUUGCAUCAGCCGGUUACGACUAGUUUUAUCAAUACACAUAACAUUCUUUACUGUUUUAAGUAUUAUAACGAAAAAAGUGGAAUUUAAACAACUGAAAUGUAUUCAAGAAUUCUACAAAGAUAUUAUUAGCCAGACGAAUUACAACGUGAAAAAUCCAAGACUUUAUAAAGACAACGAACGUUUAACACAAAAUAUAUCAUCGGAAGACUUCAA